CCUACGGGUGGCAGCAGUGAGGAAUAUUGGUCAAUGGACGAGAGCCUGAACCAGCCAAGUAGCGUGAAGGAUGACUGCUCUAUGGGUUGUAAACUUCUUUUAUAUGGGAGUAAAAUGUUCCACGUGUGGGAUUUUGUAUGUACCAUAUGAAUACGGAUCGGCUAACGCCGCGCCAGCAGCCGCGGUAAUACGGAGGUUCCGAGCGUUAUCCGGAUUUAUUGGGUUUAAAGGGAGCGUAGGUGGAUUGUUAAGUCAGUGGUGAAAGUUUGCGGCUCAACCGUAAAAUUGCAGUGGAAACUGGGAGUCUUGAGUACAGUAGAGGUGAGCGGAAUUCGUAGUGUAGCGGUGAAAUGCUUAGAUAUCACGAAGAACUCCAGUUGCGAAGGCAGUUCACUGGACUGCAACUGACACUGAGGCUCGAAAGUGUGGGUAUCAAACAGGAUUAGAUACCCUAGUAGUC
rnacentral:rRNA from 1 species